rnacentral:lncRNA from 1 species
GGAAUUCACAUUCAAUCUAUGCUUGUCUGCUUGACAUUGUCCCAUGAGUCAGUAAGGCACAGUCAUUUUUUUUUCUCUUUGUUCUUCAGCGUGGAUAACUUUUAUUGACCUCUUUUUAAGGUCAUCAGUUCUUUCUACUGCCAUAUCUAAUCCACUGUUAAGCCCAUUCAUUCUAUUUUUCAAUUCAGAUGCUGUAAUUUUUAGUUCUAGAAUUUCCAUUUAAUUAUUUAUCAUAGUUUUUAUGUCUCUGGAGACCUUUUCCAUCCGUUUAUACAUUAUAAUCUUUUCCUUAAAGUUCUUGAAUAUAUUUAUAAUGCUGUUUCAAAUUUUUUGUCACGUUUGCUUAUCUUUGAGUCUGUUUCUCUUAGAUACUUUUCCUCCUUUUUAAUGGGUCAUGUUUUCCUGCUUCUUUGCACAUACAGUAAAUGAUAAACUUUGUAUGUUUGUUCCAUCCAAAUUUCAUGUUAAAAUAUAAUCCCUGAGGUUGGAGGUGGGGCCUUGUGGCAGGUGUUUGGGUCAUGGGGCAAAUCCCUCAUGAAUAGUUUGGCAUGCUGUCCUUGCGAUAUGAGUGAGUUCUUGUGAGAUCUGGUUGUUUAAAAGUGUGUAGCACCUCCCCCUUCACUCUCUCUUGCUCCUACUCUUACUAUGUGACAGGUCAACUUCCCUUUUGCCUUCUGCUAUGAUUGUAAACUUCUUGAGGCUCUCACCAGAAGCCGACGCUGAAGCCAAGCUUGUAUAGCCUGCAGAACUAACAUCAAUGUCCAUGAGUUCUACAGGACCUCCUGUAUCUCCGUUCAGCUGCCAACUCUGUAGCAAGUCCUCCCUGCAAGGCCUUAAGGAAUCUCUUGUGGAUGCGCGUCCAGCCCUGUGCAAGGCUUCAAAGAAAAGCAGUUGAAACACCAUUAGUUAACAGAUUGCCCAAUGAAGUCGAUGACAACUGUGAUAAGAAAUUACUCACUAUCACAGUGUCUCCAAGAGAUGAACAGUGGAUGAUGCUUCCAAAGCACAGAUGUCCCUCUCCUCCUCAACCUUCUUUCCCCAGAAAGAUGUCAACACCGUGGAGAUUGUGCCAUGAAGACACCUGGUGUGGCAUUGCAAUAGAUGAAUGCCAAUUAUUAAGGGCAAUUGCCCAAAUAUUAAGGGCAAUUCCACAAUUUUUGGAACAAAUAAAUGGAUUUAACUUGAAGUUGAGUUUAAGUUGAUUUCAAGAAAGAUUAU